rfam:Danio rerio chromosome 4, GRCz11 reference primary assembly.
ACAUUGGUGGUUCAGUGGUAGAAUUCUCGCCUGCCACGCGGGAGACCCGGGUCCGAUUCCCGGCAUAUGCA